UCAAACUUGGUCAUUUAGAGGAAGUACAAGUCGUAACAAGGUAUCCGUAGGUGAACCUGCGGAUGGAUCAUUACCAAAGGAUCCACAUCCACACGUAAUGUGAACUGUUUUUGGUGCUGGCUGGUGCGUAUGUGCUGCCUCACCACAUUCUACACGUCUAUUAUUACAACUGAAGUCUGUUUAUACAAUGAAAAACGAUAUAAACAACUUUUAGCAAUGGAUCUCUUGGCUCUUGCAUCGAUGAAGAACGCAGC
rnacentral:misc_RNA from 1 species